CUCAGUUCGGAUUGGAGUCUGNAACCCGACUCCAUGAAGCUGGAUUCGCUAGUAAUCGCGCAUCAGCCACGGCGCGGUGAAUACGUUCCCGGGCCUUGUACACACCGCCCGUCAAGCCAUGGAAGCCGGGAGUGCCUGAAGUGCGUGAGCGCAAGCAGCGCCCUAAGGUAAAACCGGUGACUGGGGCUAAGUCGUAACAAGGUACC
rnacentral:rRNA from 1 species